rnacentral:rRNA from 1 species
GAUGAACGCUGGCGGCGUGCCUAACACAUGCAAGUCGAACGAAGCAAUUAGAAUGAAGUUUUCGGAUGGAUUUUUAAUUGACUGAGUGGCGGACGGGUGAGUAACGCGUGGAUAACCUGCCUCACACUGGGGGAUAACAGUUAGAAAUGACUGCUAAUACCGCAUAAGCGCACGCUACCGCAUGGUAGCGUGUGAAAAACUCCGGUGGUGUGAGAUGGAUCCGCGUCUGAUUAGCCAGUUGGCAGGGUAACGGCCCACCAAAGCGACGAUCGGUAGCCGGACUGAGAGGUUGAACGGCCACAUUGGGACUGAGACACGGCCCAG